GCUCACUCAUCUUGGUUUCCAUCUCCCUCAACGAUCACUCUCCGAAUCUCCAGUUUUCAUUUUCCCUUUGUUGAAAUUUUGUAGAGACUUUUAAUUUGGAGGCUUUGAAAUGGGGAUUGACGUUGAUUUAGCAGCUAGUAAUGGAAUAUGACUUUUGCGAAUGGCACGGGUUCCCUUGCUAGCUAUAUCCUUGGCAUAGGCGGCAUUGGAAAUAUUAUAUCAGAUGAAGGUGCUGGAAAAGAGGAUGCCCCAAGAAACUGGGGGUCUACUUUUCAAAAAAAUAUUUUUACUGCUGAUGGAAACUGCUCUGAUAGAGACAUCACCCUGCGGCUAUGUCAAACCCCGAAUUGUUGAUAUUCUCGAUGAUUUUCAGAAAAUAAAGAAGCAUAAUUGGUGUCUGUACUUACUUGACAAUCAGAUGAGGACACACGAAGCUGAGGGAGAAAAACAAGUCCAAAGUUUUCCUAGUGUGCACCGUAGGAGAAGUGUGCCAUGUGCCAUUCCUAGGAUAAAGGGGUGGACGGCGGAACUGAUGAAAGAGCGAGAGGAAAAUAAAUUGAAAGAGGAUGAUUUCGGUCUUGGUCGUGUGUCUCCACAAUAUGAUCAGAAUGAGCUAGGAAGCGCAGAAAUGUCAACAUGAGUGGCUCGUUUACCAUCUACAGAAAAUGUUGUUGAAGAAGGAGAGCCUUCGGAUGAGGUAUAUAUGAGGGGUGUUUGGGGGGCAACCAAACACAUAGGUGACAUUUUUAAGAUGCUGUCGGAACUGAGCCAAGCUCCUCUGGAAAUCAGGAAUAAGGACAACUUUCGAAUAACGUGCGACACUCUUAGGAGGGCUUUAAGACUGGACGGGAAAGACUUCAAUCAUGUGGAGUCAAUGACACAGUCGCAGUCUGCCCACUAUAGUGCAGCGGAAUAGUGGUCAGAGUCAUUGAAAUCUUUGUUAUGCGCGACUGAUGAAAUGGAUAUACUAGAAAACAAAGAUGAAUACCCAAGCUUUAGCCUUGGUUUUGAUUUAAGCCAGGAUGAUGACGCUAGUUACCGUGAUUCAGAAUGUCAACAGGAAACAAUCAAACCAACCAAUGUUGAAGAGCAUGAUGUGUCGGAGUUGAGCUAAGGGAGCAAGCCGACCUAUGUUUUAGUGGUGAUGGGCAUGUAUCCCAGGACGGGGACCGAGAGACCGUUGCUGAUUUGGGAGGAGAUGGUCUUGAUUUUGGUACUGGUAGUGACACCGGAAGAGAUGGGGGAUGCCAAGAGCAUGUGGCUGCUGUGGAAGUAGGAACAGUUGUCAAUGAGGACAAUGCACUCGACGUGGCUAGGUCUAUAGCGCGUUAGGGUGUUGACAUUCGUCAUUAAUUAUUGACAUUGUAGAAUUUCCUGUUUAUCUGAUGCAGCACGACGCAGCAGAUGUAACCAUUUGUUCUACCGUGGAAGCAUUCAUUGAACUCGGUGAUGCUGCUUUUGAAACGCAAAUAGUUAUGGAAGACGUUGAUGUGGAAAUUACUUGUACGUGGAGAUGCAGAGAUGAAUUGUGAAGGGAGCAUGUUUGCUGACAUACAACCUGCUCCAGCAAGGAAACUCAGAUUGCCUACAGUCAGAAGAGAGGGAUCAUCAUCAAUGCGUACCAGCCUAACAUGGACUGGACUAGAGAAGAGAGGGAUUGUUACCAAUUCCUAAUUGCAACACCAUUCUUGGGCGUCGUAUCUGAAUGGCAUGGAAUUUGUUAAAUCAACAGAGAAGCCCAACAGAUUGUUUGUCACAACAUCUCCCACCAUAAGUGUACUGUUAAUAUGAUGUAAUUUGUUUUAUUUUUUUUUCUAAUGGCAUUGUGUAACGAUUUCAGUCAUUCAAUGUGGUUGAACGGAGAACUAGUUGGGUAGAUUCUGAAGCUGCGGCUUCAUUGUGAGGAGAUAGAUAGUCAAUUCAACCGCACUGGAAUUUUGACUUCAAAAAAUAUGAUUUGGUAA